rnacentral:lncRNA from 1 species
AGCAUAUUAUCAUAACAAUUGAAGAAACUAAAAAUUUGGAGGAGAUGUCGAUUGAUCAAUUAAUGGGAUCCUUACAAGCAUAUGAAGAAAAGCAUAAGAAAAUUGGAGGAGAUGUCGAUUGAUCAAUUAAUGGGAUCCUUACAAGCAUAUGAAGCAAAGCAUAAGAAAAAACAAGAUAUAGUGGAGCAAUUAUUCAAGAUGCAAAUAAAAGAUAAGGAAGAAAGUAUCAGAAAUGGAUGAGGUCAAUAUGGAAGAGGUCGUGGUCGUGGACGAGGUCGAGGCCAUGGACGUGGACGAGGAGGUUUCAACAACAAUAAAGAAUGAAGAGAAUACCCAAGUCGUGGGAGAGGCAACCAAG